rnacentral:sRNA from 3 species
GCGCAGCGAGAGAACGUUGCGUCAGCAACGGCCCGCAGGGCGAGCCACGCAGUGGCGAGUCAUCCUCUAUCACCGACCA